CCCUAGUAACGGCGAGUGAAGCGGCAACAGCUCAAAUUUGAAAUCUGGCUUUUUCGGAGGCCCGAGUUGUAAUUUGCAGAGGGUGCUUUGGCGUCGGCAGCGGUCUAAGUUCCUUGGAACAGGACGUCAUAGAGGGUGAGAAUCCCGUACGUGGCCGCCCGCCUUCGCCGUGUAAAGCCCCUUCGACGAGUCGAGUUGUUUGGGAAUGCAGCUCUAAAUGGGAGGUAAAUUUCUUCUAAAGCUAAAUACCGGCCAGAGACCGAUAGCGCACAAGUAGAGUGAUCGAAAGAUGAAAAGCACUUUGGAAAGAGAGUCAAACAGCACGUGAAAUUGUUGAAAGGGAAGCGCUUGCCGCCAGACGUGCCCGUGGUGGUUCUCCUCCGCGGGCAGGCCAGCAUCAGUUUGGGCGAUCGGAAAAUGGCCUCUGUCAUGUAUCUCCCUUCGGGGAGACCUUAUAGGGGAGGCGUAAUGCGAUCAGCCCGGACUGAGGACCGCGCAUCUGCUAGGAUGCUGGCGUAAUGGCUGUAAGCGGCCCGUCUUGAAACACGGACCAAGGAGUCUAACAUCUAUGCGAGUGUUUGGGUGUCAAGCCCGAGCGCGUAAUGAAAGUGAACGGAGGUGGGAACCCUCUCUGGGGGUGCACCAUCGACCGAUCCUGAAGUCUUCGGAUGGAUUUGAGUAAGAGCAUGGCUGUUGGGACCCGAAAGAUGGUGAACUAUGCUUGAAUAGGGUGAAGCCAGAGGAAACUCUGGUGGAGGCUCGCAGCGGUUCUGACGUGCAAAUCGAUCGUCAAAUUUGGGCAUA
rnacentral:rRNA from 1 species